rnacentral:rRNA from 1 species
CACGAGAGUUUGCAACACCCGAAGUCGGUGAGGCAACCGCAAGGAGCCAGCCGCCGAAGGUGGGGCAGAUAAUUGGGGUGAAGUCGUAACAAGGUAUCCCUACCGGAAGGUGGGGAUGGAUCACCUCCUUUCUACGGAG